rnacentral:tRNA from 1 species
GAUUAAAUGGCUGAAGUUAGGCGAUAAAUUGUAAAUUUAUUUAUGAGAUACAUUUCUCUUUAAUCA